GUCAGUCUGUAGUAUUUGCAGGUCACGAGUGAGAAGGUGUCGUUUCGUUGGGACAUUGUGUCCCCUCACAUUAAAGGUGCAUAUUCUCACGGUGGUUGCCGUGUGCGGAUUGGGGUAUGUCGUGUUAAGUAAGAUAUGAGUGUGAGGGCUACUGCUCUCCCCAGCUGCAACGAGCUGAGCAGUGAGUCCCUCAGUUCACAUAGUGACGUUCCUC